rnacentral:rRNA from 1 species
AACCCCUCACCCCUACUGAACUAUUUUAUAACAUUAUAAAAAUAAUCAUGCUAGAACUAGUAACAAGAAGUCGCCCUUCUCCAUAAUGCAAACAUAAACCAAAACGGACACUCCAUUGGUAAUUAACGCAAAUGUAAAACCAUAACAACACAAACCAGAAAACCUUAUGGCCACCCACACGUUAUCCUAACACCAGAGCAUUACAGGAAAGAUUAAAAGAUAAAGAAGGAACUCGGCAAAUUUUAACCCCGCCUGUUUACCAAAAACAUCGCCUCUUGACUAAAUAUAAGAGGUCCAGCCUGCCCAGUGAUAAUAUUCAACGGCCGCGGUAUACUGACCGUGCGAAGGUAGCAUAAUCACUUGUUCUUUAAAUGGGGACUCGUAUCAACGGCAUCACGAGGGUUACACUGUCUCCUCUCUCCAAUCAGUGAAACUGAUCCCCCCGUGAAGAAGCGGGGAUUCAAUUAUAAGACGAGAAGACCCCAUGGAGCUUUAAACCCAACAUAUACCUCUGCAUUCAAAUACCAACUUAACCAAAGAGGCCUGUACGUCGGUUUUAGGCUGGGGGGGCCACGGAGUAAAACUAAACCUCCAUAAUAAAUGGGCUAACACCCUAAUCUAUGACUUAUAAGUCUAAGAAUCACUAAAAUGAUAUUUAAUGACCCGAUAAUUCGAUCAAUGAACCAAGUUACCCUGGGGAUAACAGCGCAAUCUACUUCAAGAGCCCUUAUCGACAAGUGGGUUUACGACCUCGAUGUUGGAUCAGGGGUAUCCUAGUGGUGCAACCGCUAC